UGGGCAGUGUCCUUGAGUUGUUUUUUGACACUCUUACCUGGGCUUCUCUGUGUGCAUUUGCGUCUGGCCUGGAGUAAGCAGGUCCGACCCCUCCUUCUUUACAGCUUAGUGUUAUUCUGGCAUUUGGUUAAGCUGGCUUAAUCUGUUUAAUGUUAUCAGUACAUUUUAAAUAGGGGCAUUGAAAUUUACUCCCACCACCAGGGCUUUUUUGGGGGAUGCCUGGGCCUUUAAAACACUAGCCAAACUCUAAUUAAUUCUCAAAUCACUGCCAGGAGUUCUUGCUCCUGGCUGCAGGCCCAGGCCCCAAGGUCUCCUUCUUGGGGUCACAAACAGCAGUAAGGAAGAGGAAUAUAUAGCAACUCAGGGCCUGGGAAUUGUGGGGCAAUCCGUUCUUAGGGACUGGAUACUUCUGGCUGGCUGAGUAUAGUACUAGCUGCCUCCCCACCAGGUUCCGAGUAGUGUCUGAGACUCUGCUCUGCAGGGCCUAGGGUAGCGCUGGGAGUGUAGAAGUGGCCUGCCCUUAACUGUUUUCACUAAACAGCUUUUUCUAAGGGGAGAGCAAGGGGGAGAGAUCUAGAUUGGGUGAGGGGGACGGGGAUGUCAGGGAGGCAAGUGUGUUGUGUUACUGUGUCAAUAAACUGAUUUAAAGUUG
rnacentral:lncRNA from 1 species